rnacentral:rRNA from 1 species
GUGAUUACGGGUAACGGGGAAUCAGGGUUCGAUUCCGGAGAGGGAGCCUGAGAAACGGCUACCACAUCCAAGGACGGCAGCAGGCGCGCAAAUUACCCAAUCCAGACACUGGGAGGUGGUGACGAGAAAUACCAGGUCGUUCCCAAAAGGAUUCGACACUGGAAUGAGUGCAAUUUAAAAAUUUCAACGAGUAACAACUGGAGGGCAAGUCUGGUGCCAGCAGCCGCGGUAAUUCCAGCUCCAGUAGUGUAUUCAAACGUUGCUGCGGUUAAAACGCUCGUAGUUGGACAAGAGAGUAACUUAGAUGCGGGCGGGGAGUGUAAUUACUCUAUGAAUUCACUUGUUGAGUGAGACGUUGGCAGUUUUGCGAAAGUGAAGCUGUUGAUGAGGAGCUCUUCGGGAUGAUGCGUAGUUGUGUAUCACUUGUCGACCAUGCUGCCAGGUUACUUGUAAUGUUUCGUGAGAAUGGUACAUGGUCUUUAUUGUACUGUGUGCUUUGUCUUACGUAGUGUGCCUUGAAUAAAUCAGAGUGCUCAAUGCAAGCAAUUGCUUGAAUGUUAAUAGCAUGGAACGAAUGUAUAGUGAAAGUGUGAUAGUGAGGAUGACUCGUUGUCCUUGCUAUUACACAGCACCAACCGCGAAGCGGAGCAUUGGUUGCCGACUUCGGGUGAGGAUUAAGAGGGGCAUUUGGGGGCAUUAGUAUUUGGUCGCGAGAGGUGAAAUU